rnacentral:rRNA from 1 species
GACAGAGGCCUCGAGCGUUAGGCGGAAUCACUGGGCUUAAAGCGUGUGUAGGCGGAUCGUUAAGUACCUUGUGAAAUCCCACGGCUCAACCGUGGAACGGCUGGGUAUACUGGCGGUCUUGGGCCAUUCAGGGGCGACUGGAACAAGCGGUGGAGCGGUGAAAUGCGUAGAUAUCGUUUGGAACGCCAAAGGUGAAAACAGACAGCUGGGAGUGUGCUGACGCUGAGACACGAAAGCCAGGGGAGCGAACGGG